GGUCUUAUAUUCAAAUAAAUGAUAUGAAAUUGCAAAUUUUAAGUUAAUAUAAAAAUAUUUAAGGCUU
rnacentral:tRNA from 1 species